rnacentral:misc_RNA from 1 species
AUAAUCUGUAUGUGUUUGGCAUACAAUAGCUGCAUAUAUAAAAAGGUUGAGAAAGCUACAGCUCCUAGGUUUAAGUAUCACUGAAUCACGUUCAUUAUUUGACCAUAAUUUUAUGAUUGAUGUUGGGUAAACUCAAUGGUAUUGUACUAUGUUUGAUAUAUCUAGCAUUAUGGAACCAAGGUCCAAUGUUAUUCAGUUAAUAAGAAAACAUAUUAAAUUUGUGGGAGGUAUCUUGUUAGAUCUAUCAAAUGGGCAUAAAGAAUUAACAACAUAGCAAUGAAGGAUGGCACUUUCUUGUUUCUGAUUUUAGUCGGCAACCAUUAUUUCCAUGGGUUGGUUGGUG